rnacentral:rRNA from 3 species
UAUGGUGCGUAUCUUGAAUGUCAAAACGACUCUCGGCAACGGAUAUCUCGGCUCUCGCAUCGAUGAAGAACGUAGCGAAAUGCGAUACUUGGUGUGAAUUGCAGAAUCCCGUGAACCAUCGAGUCUUUGAACGCAAGUUGCGCCCGAAGCCUUCGGGCCGAGGGCACGCCUGCCUGGGC